rnacentral:rRNA from 1 species
AUUGAACGCUGGCGGCAGGCCUAACACAUGCAAGUCGAGCGGCAGCACGGGUACUUGUACCUGGUGGCGAGCGGCGGACGGGUGAGUAAUGCCUAGGAAUCUGCCUAGUAGUGGGGGAUAACGUCCGGAAACGGGCGCUAAUACCGCAUACGUCCUACGGGAGAAAGUGGGGGAUCUUCGGACCUCACGCUAUUAGAUGAGCCUAGGUCGGAUUAGCUAGUUGGUGAGGUAAUGGCUCACCAAGGCGACGAUCCGUAACUGGUCUGAGAGGAUGAUCAGUCACACUGGAACUGAGACACGGUCCAGACUCCUACGGGAGGCAGCAGUGGGGAAUAUUGGACAAUGGGCGAAAGCCUGAUCCAGCCAUGCCGCGUGUGUGAAGAAGGUCUUCGGAUUGUAAAGCACUUUUAAGUUUGGGAGGAAGGGCAGUUACCUAAUACGUGAUUGUUUUGACGUUUACCGACAGAAUAAGCACCGGCUAACUCUGUGCCAGCG